rnacentral:rRNA from 1 species
AACGUAGGACACGAGCGUUAUCCGGAGUUACUGGGCGUAAAGGGCUCGUAGGCGGUCUGUCGCGUCGAAAGUGAAAACUCAGGGCUUAACCCUGAGCCUGCUUCCGAUACGGGCAGACUAGAGGUAUGCAGGGGAGAACGGAAUUCCUGGUGUAGCGGUGGAAUGCGCAGAUAUCAGGAGGAACACCGGUGGCGAAGGCGGUUCUCUGGGCAUUACCUGACGCUGAGGAGCGAAAGUGUGGGGAGCGAACAGG